rnacentral:snRNA from 1 species
GCACAGAUCAGAGGGAGAUAAAAUAGUCUUGAAGGUAGUUUUCUCAGGGUGAGGCUCAACCAUUCCACUCUGGAUGUGCAGACCCCUGAAAUUUCCCCAAAUGCAGGAAACCUAACUACAUAAUUUGUGGUAGUGAGAAAUAAUUUUGA